UACGUAGGGGGCAAGCGUUGUCCGGAAUCAUUGGGCGUAAAGCGCGUGUAGGCGGCUCAUAAAGUCUGGUGUGAAAUCUUGCGGCUCAACCGUAAGCUGUCACUGGAUACUGAUGAGCUUGAAUCCGGAAGAGGAGUGUGGAAUUCCUGGUGUAGCGGUGGAAUGCGCAGAUAUCAGGAGGAACACCUAUGGCGAAGGCAGCACUCUGGUACGUGAUUGACGCUGAGACGCGAAAGCGUGGGGAGCGAACAGG
rnacentral:rRNA from 1 species